AUUGAACGCUGGCGGCAGGCCUAAUACAUGCAAGUCGAACGAGUGGCGGACGGGUGUGUAAUGUCUGGGAAACUGCUUGAUGGAGGGGGAUAACUACUGGAAACGGUAGCUAAUACCGCAUACCAUCAGAUGUGCGCAGAUGGGAUUAGCUAGUUGGUGGGGUAACGGCUCACCAAGGCGACGAUCCCUAGCUGGUCUGCGGGGGUGAUCGGCCACACUGGAACUGAGACACGGCCCAGACUCCUACGGGAGGCAGCAGUGGGGAAUAUUCGACAAUGGGCGCAAGCCUGAUGCAGCCAUGCCGCGUGUAUGAAGAAGGCCUUCGGGUUGUAAAGCACUGUCGGCGGGGAGGCGUUACCCGCCGAAGAAGCACCGGCUAACUCCGUGCCAGCAGCCGCGGUAAUAC
rnacentral:rRNA from 1 species